rnacentral:rRNA from 1 species
AGAGUUUGAUCCUGGCUCAGGAUGAACGCUAGCUACAGGCCUAACACAUGCAAGUCGAGGGGCAGCAUGAACUUAGCUUGCUAAGUUUGAUGGCGACCGGCGCACGGGUGAGUAACACGUAUCCAACCUGCCGAUGACUCGGGGAUAGCCUUUCGAAAGAAAGAUUAAUACCCGAUGGCAUAGUUCUUCCGCAUGGUAGAACUAUUAAAGAAUUUCGGUCAUCGAUGGGGAUGCGUUCCAUUAGGUUGUUGGCGGGGUAACGGCCCACCAAGCCUUCGAUGGAUAGGGGUUCUGAGAGGAAGGUCCCCCACAUUGGAACUGAGACACGGUCCAAACUCCUACGGGAGGCAGCAGUGAGGAAUAUUGGUCAAUGGACGAGAGUCUGAACCAGCCAAGUAGCGUGAAGGAUGACUGCCCUAUGGGUUGUAAACUUCUUUUAUACGGGAAUAAAGUGAGGCACGUGUGCCUUUUUGUAUGUACCGUAUGAAUAAGGAUCGGCUAACUCCGUGCCAGCAGCCGCGGUAAUACGGAGGAUCCGAGCGUUAUCCGGAUUUAUUGGGUUUAAAGGGAGCGUAGGCGGACGCUUAAGUCAGUUGUGAAAGUUUGCGGCUCAACCGUAAAAUUGCAGUUGAUACUGGGUGUCUUGAGUACAGUAGAGGCAGGCGGAAUUCGUGGUGUAGCGGUGAAAUGCUUAGAUAUCACGAAGAACUCCGAUUGCGAAGGCAGCCUGCUGGACUGUAACUGACGCUGAUGCUCGAAAGUGUGGGUAUCAAACAGGAUUAGAUACCCUGGUAGUCCACACAGUAAACGAUGAAUACUCGCUGUUUGCGAUAUACAGUAAGCGGCCAAGCGAAAGCGUUAAGUAUUCCACCUGGGGAGUACGCCGGCAACGGUGAAACUCAAAGGAAUUGACGGGGGCCCGCACAAGCGGAGGAACAUGUGGUUUAAUUCGAUGAUACGCGAGGAACCUUACCCGGGCUUAAAUUGCACUGGACAGGCUCAGAGAUGGGCUCUUCUUCGGACCAGUGUGAAGGUGCUGCAUGGUUGUCGUCAGCUCGUGCCGUGAGGUGUCGGCUUAAGUGCCAUAACGAGCGCAACCCUUGCCAUUAGUUACUAACAGGUCAUGCUGAGGACUCUAGUGGGACUGCCAUCGUAAGAUGUGAGGAAGGUGGGGAUGACGUCAAAUCAGCACGGCCCUUACGUCCGGGGCUACACACGUGUUACAAUGGGAGGUACAGAAGGCUGCUACCCGGCGACGGGAUGCCAAUCCCCAAAACCUCUCUCAGUUCGGAUUGGAGUCUGCAACCCGACUCCAUGAAGCUGGAUUCGCUAGUAAUCGCGCAUCAGCCACGGCGCGGUGAAUACGUUCCCGGGCCUUGCACACACCGCCCGU